AUACCUUUCUCGGCCUUUUGGCUAAGAUCAAGUGUAGUAUCUGUUCUUAUCAGUUUAAUAUCUGAUACGUGGGUCAUCGAUCCACCAUGAUAUUAAAUUAAUUUUUUUUCGGGGGAGUUCCCUCUCACAGUGGCUUGCCACUGGGGUUCUCGCGCGUCGCCCUUGCGUUGCACCACUGCUUGGGCCUGGCGCACCCCUA